AGCGAACGCUGGCGGCAGGCCUAACACAUGCAAGUCGGGCGCCGUAGCAAUACGGAGCGGCAGACGGGAGAGUAACACGUGGGAACGUACCCUUUGGUUCGGAACAACCCAGGGAAACUUGGGCUAAUACCGGAUAAGCCCUCACGGGGAAAGAUUUAUCGCCGAAGGAUCGGCCCGCGUCUGAUUAGCUAGUUGGUGGGGUAACGGCCCACCAAGGCGACGAUCAGUAGCUGGUCUGAGAGGAUGAUCAGCCUCACUGGGACUGAGACACGGCCCAGACUCCUACGGGAGGCAGCAGUGGGGAAUAUUGGACAAUGGGCGCAAGCCUGAUCCAGCCAUGCCGCGUGGGUGAUGAAGGCCCUAGGGCUGUAAAGCCCUUUCGGCGGGGAAGAUAAUGACGGUACCCGCAGAAGAAGCCCCGGCUAACUUCGUGCCAGCCGCCGCGGUAA
rnacentral:rRNA from 1 species